UAAGAAGUUAAGUUAAGAAAUAUUUAAGUUUCGUUUAUACGUUAGUUCAGUGUAUUGUUGGAAUCAUUAAAAAUGUACGAGAAAAGUAUGCGUAAUUAUGUAAUGGAGUAUAUUUUCGUUGAUAAUUUAAUCCAACAAAGCGUAACACUUCGGCGUUAUGAGCCGCAAUGCGGCAGUCGACGCUCAUUGCCGAGAUGAGUGUGCCAGUAAGCUGCAGCGGCAUCAGAACGAAUAAAAAGUACUAGACAGGUGCAUGGGAGGAUCGAUGGCGCAAUACGAGAUUACCUUCGAAAUUUGUCAUCAACGGUUACCUGAAUAAUUUGGUCACACCAAGCUUUCUUAAUCAAGCCUUCAGGAAUGCGUGGUGUGCACGGACAGAUGCUGCCGCCGAGUUCUCUGAGCGGCUCGACGAUCAGCGGUGUGAUGGGGUUUGGCCACCAUCUGUCUUCCCCAUUGCCCACGCUGGCCGACUGCAAGCCACCGACGCCGCUACCAGGGCUGCAGAGUUCCGCUAGCGUCGCUACCACGCCUUCAACUUCAGCGUCUUGCGCCACAGUACACUCCUACUAUGAUCACAUAAUAUGAAAUAAAUCCUAUGCAGAUUUCGGGAUAAGAGCAGCCUUGAGGAGAUAAAAGACUUCUUUAGAAGAACAGAGUUAAUCAACGAAUUUUUUAAUUAAAAUAUCAAUUGAUACGAUUCUGAUAUAGGAUGAAUGAUACUUAGUAAAUAAAUAAAUAUUAAGUAGUAUAACUUUUUAGAUUAGUAGUAAUUAUAAGUAUUACGUUGAUAUUUAAAUUAAUUAAUACCUAUCAAUAUUGAAGCUUUUAAAAUAUGAUUUUAUAAAAUGUAGGUACGCAAUGUAACCUUUAAACAUAAAUCUUUAAACAAAAAUUUAUUCUUUGAUAUUAUAAAACAGGCUAAUACACGAAAUAUUAAUCUAGAUUAAUUUUAUAAAUAAAACGCAUAUCACAUCACCAAUAAAAUGCAUAAAGGGUGUCACACACUUAUUACACUGAGAUCAAAGGGCCGUACCUACUUCAAACGUGUUUCUUAGGCGCUGAUAACGUAGAAGAUACUCAUUAAAUCCCUGGUGCAUUUAUUAAUUCUACUUAGUAAUUUCUCAACGGCCUGUUUCUGAAUGAAUAUUGUCGUUGAGAACGUCUCAAACCAACUCAAACAAUAGUUAGGCUGGUUUCAGAGCUUGACCGACCGUCAGUGCGUACUGCGUACCGUCGGUCCUGACGAUACGCAUCAACAAUUAUUGUAUGACUACUUAUAACACUAAGUGCAGAUUUACA